AUAGCAUGGUGCGGGCACUGAUUUAACAGAUCUUUGAAUCUUUCCCAGACUUGAUAGAACGUUUCAUUGUCCUUUUGGAAAAUGUGGAAAUCUAUCGUUUUAGACUGU